AUUGAACGCUGGCGGCAGGCCUAACACAUGCAAGUCGAGCGGAUGAAGGGAGCUUGCUCCUGGAUUCAGCGGCGGACGGGUGAGUAAUGCCUAGGAAUCUGCCUGGUAGUGGGGGAUAACGUCCGGAAACGGGCGCUAAUACCGCAUACGUCCUGAGGGAGAAAGUGGGGGAUCUUCGGACCUCACGCUAUCAGAUGAGCCUAGGUCGGAUUAGCUAGUUGGUGGGGUAAAGGCCUACCAAGGCGACGAUCCGUAACUGGUCUGAGAGGAUGAUCAGUCACACUGGAACUGAGACACGGUCCAGACUCCUACGGGAGGCAGCAGUGGGGAAUAUUGGACAAUGGGCGAAAGCCUGAUCCAGCCAUGCCGCGUGUGCGAAGAAGGUCUUCGGAUUGUAAAGCACUUUAAGUUGGGAGGAAGGGCAGUAAGUUAAUACCUUGCUGUUUUGACGUUACCAACAGAAUAAGCACCGGCUAACCUCGUG
rnacentral:rRNA from 1 species